UAGAAGAUAGAGUCCACUUUGGAGGGGAUCCCAGAAUAGAAAAAUGACAUUGAGGGACAAUGAGGAAACCUAGAUAAUUAGGUUUUAGUGCCAAAGAACCCUGCGUUCAUGGGGAAGAUGGUUGAAGUGGACAUCUAUGAAUCAGGCAAACAUUUUAUGAAAGGGCAGCCAGUAUCUGAUGCCAAAGUGUACACGCCCUCCAUCAGCAAACCGCUAGCAAAGGGAGAAGUCUCAGGUUUGACAAAGGACUUCAGAAAUGGGCUUGGGAACCAGCUGAGUUCAGGAUCCCACACCUCUGCUGCAUCUCAGUGUAACUCAGCGAGUUCCAGAAUGGUGCUGCCCAUGCCAAGGCUACAUCAAGACUGUGCGCUGAGGAUGUCUGUGGGCUUGGCUCUGCUGGGUCUUCUUUUUGCUUUUUUUGUCAAGGUCUAUAAUUAGAAUACAACUAAUGGAAACAUCUAUAAAGAAGAAUACAUUUCUAAUUAAAAUCUUCAAUGAACAGGAAAGCAACAUCUCCAUUCUCCAAGGGCAAUAAUUUGUACUGGUCAUGCUGCCUCCUUCUCAGCCACUCUUCUUAAUGAGGCUCCCCCUGUCUCACAUUGAGUUGGGCCCAUUGGUUAUUUGACCUAAAACCUAAUCACGGCUACCAUAGCACAUCCUUCAAAUUAAACUGCUUUUGGUUUACUUUUAGCAAGAAAUGCAAGCGGUUGCAUUUUUUCUGUUUGUUUCAAUCUCCAAUCUUUAAGUCAGAACCUAAUUGUACAGUGGCUCUGGCCAUCUUUUCCUCAUGUGGAAGAAUUUUCUAUCUAUCUUUAAUAAACUUUUUCUUUCUUUUUUUUUCC
rnacentral:sRNA from 1 species